GGACGAACGCUGGCGGCGUGCCUAAUACACGCAAGUUGAGCGAUGAAGAUUGGUGCUUGCACCAAUUUGAAGAGCAGCGAACGGGUGAGUAACGCGUGGGGAAUCUGCCUUUGAGCGGGGGACAACAUUUGGAAACGAAUGCUAAUACCGCAUAACAACUUUAAACAUAAGUUUUAAGUUUGAAAGAUGCAAUUGCAUCACUCAAAGAUGAUCCCGCGUUGUAUUAGCUAGUUGGUGAGGUAAAGGCUCACCAAGGCGAUGAUACAUAGCCGACCUGAGAGGGUGAUCGGCCACAUUGGGACUGAGACACGGCCCAAACUCCUACGGGAGGCAGCAGUAGGGAAUCUUCGGCAAUGGACGAAAGUCUGACCGAGCAACGCCGCGUGAGUGAAGAAGGGUUUCGGAUCGUAAAACUCUGUUGGUAGAGAAGAACGUUGGUGAGAGUGGAAAGCUCAUCAAGUGACGGUAACUACCCAGAAAGGGACGGCUAACUACGUG
rnacentral:rRNA from 1 species